GACGAACGCUGGCGGCGUGCUUAACACAUGCAAGUCGAACGAAGUGGCGAACGGGUGAGUAACGCGUAAUCAACCUGCCCUUAAGAGGGGGACAACAGUUGGAACAGAAUGCUAAUACCGCAUACUGAAGGAGGGGCAUGCGACUGAUUAGCUAGUUGGAGGGGGAACGGCCCACCAAGGCGAUGAUCAGUAGCCGGUCUGAGAGGCUGAACGUCCACAUUGGGACUGGGACACGUCCCAGACUCCUACGGGAGGCAGCAGUGGGGAAUCUUCCGCAAUGGACGAAAGUCUGACGGAGCAACGCCGCGUGAGUGAUGACGGCCUUCGGGUUGUAAAGCUCUGUUAAUCGGGACGCGGUACCGGAAUAGAAAGCCACGGCUAACUACGUGCCAGCAGCCGCGGUAAUUC
rnacentral:rRNA from 1 species